UGGGGAAUAUUGCACAAUGGGCGGAAGCCUGAUGCAGCAACGCCGCGUGCGGGAUGACGGCCUUCGGGUUGUAAACCGCUUUCGCCUGUGACGAAGCGUGAGUGACGGUAAUGGGUAAAGAAGCACCGGCUAACUACGUGCCAGCAGCCGCGGUGAUACGUAGGGUGCGAGCGUUGUCCGGAUUUAUUGGGCGUAAAGGGCUCGUAGGUGGUUGAUCGCGUCGGAAGUGUAAUCUUGGGGCUUAACCCUGAGCGUGCUUUCGAUACGGGUUGACUUUAGGAAGGUAGGGGAGAAUGGAAUUCCUGGUGGAGCGGUGGAAUGCGCAGAUAUCAGGAGGAACACCAGUGGCGAAGGCGGUUCUCUGGGCCUUUCCUGACGCUGAGGAGCGAAAGCGUGGGGAGCGAACA
rnacentral:rRNA from 1 species